GGCUACAUCAUUUUGAAACCCCGGUUCCUAUAUGAUGACUGAAGUUAAGCAGCAUUGAGCCUGGUCGGUACUUAGAUGUGUGACCGCUUUGGAAUACCAAGUGCUAU